AAUCAGGAUAUUUGGAUUUUAUGUGCUAAAGGUGUCCCAUCUCCCCCCACCCUGCAAUAUGAAUGAUAAACCAUCUCCAAGCUGAGAGUGAAGCAUGUACACCAAGUUUCGCCAAUAAAGGUUGUGCAUGCCAAAACACAAGCAUAUGUGUCAUUUCGAACGAAAGGAAUUCAAGUUGCACCCGAUGCCGAAACAAACGAAGGAUGUUCAGUAAUGCAUUUAAUUCUCUGUUCCUGGUUUAUUUCGAAAAACUGCAUGAUCUCAUUACAACAUUUGCUUUCACUCUCUGUAGCCAUUAAUCCGCAUUUUCCACACUUGCACCUGAAAGACAGUCAUAACAGUCAUUUUUUUAAUUCCGAUUUUUCACGU